rnacentral:lncRNA from 10 species
CCACGACUGUAUUAGGCACGGAAAGAGCAUGGUGAGCUCUUUCAACAUGCAAUUCCAAAUAUUUUUCACUUCAGGAAACUUUUCUGAAAGUAUAGUUUUCAGUGUUUGUUUUCUAUCCUUGCCUUGGUUUUCUUCUUCAGGGACUCUUAUUACGUAGGUGUUGGAUCUUCUUUGCCUAUCUGCAAAACAUUUGCAACUUCUUCCAGAAUUUCAUCUCUUUCCUCCUUUAUUUUUCACAUUUUUCUCCUUUCAACUAUUUUAAAGACAUUAUCUGUUGUUCUAUUUGCAUGUAUAUUCCUCCUAGUUUAGUCUUUAUUUCUGAAUUUUUUUUCUUCUAUUUUUAGGGGUUUUUCUCAGUUCCAUAACCUUUCCUGCUGGUCUAAUUCUGACUUAUGUUGUUCUUGCAUGUCUUAUAUAAUUUUCUCAGUGUCUUUUACCUUCUUUUGAAUGAGAAGAUUACAGUGUUGAUUUGGUUUGUGAGCUUGUCUUUCUACAUAUUUUCUCUGUCUGAAAAAGUGUUAUUCUGCUCUUUAAUCUCUUUUUAAAAAUAAUAACUUGGUAUAGGAUUUGACCUCAAUUGCUUGCUCAUUUUUAUGUAAAAUUAAUUUUCCUGAAAUUUUAGAAGAAGGAGUGCCUCCAGGUAGCUUUUCUUAUUUCACAGAACCCCCGCUUCACUUAUGCUGUCUCCUCCAAAAUUUGGAGGUUUGCUUUUUGAGAUGUGCUGGCUCUGUGCCCCUCCAGCUUUUUCAUCUGGACCUUCUCCUUCCUUCAUCUUUAUUGGCCCUGCUCUGCUCAAUUCAAUUUCUAUUCCCAGCAGUUGCUUCUCAGUGUGGGAGCCUAUCCUGAAAGGUACAAUUUCAGAGCAUCCAUGGGAGUCUCCUCCAGGCCCUUGAGACCUUACCCCAGGCAGCCUGUGCUCGUCCAUGAUAAGAGAGGACAAAACCCCUCCCGAUUUCAGUGACUGUUCCCAGAUUGGUCUGCUGCACUUUCCAGUUAACACCUGUUUGCUCUUUGAGGAUGCUCCUAUUCUCUAGUCUGUCAAAUACCCCAUUAGUUCCCUCUGCAUUCUUCCACAUAGACACUGAUACUCUAAAGGUCUUGUGGCUGUUGUUGGUUUGUCUUUGCCAUUUUUGUUUUGAGGUUUCUGGGAAUACCUUGUAAUUAGUUUUGUUGUAAAUGUCAUCCAUGUGUUUUUGGUUGGCCACUAGUGCUCUAUUUUGUUUACAAAUUUGUAAAAGGUAGAAAGCUCUGCCACCAUCUUCCCAGAAUUCCUUAUUUUUAUUUUUAAUUUAAUAUGAUCAUGCAAACGCUAAUAAGAACACCAGAUAACAGGAUGGACACUUAGCAUUGUGUUACAAUUGCUUACAGUAUUCAGUGCAGUAACAGCCUGUACAGAUUUGUAGCCUAGGAGAAUAGACUAAACCAUAUAGCCUAGGUAUGUAGUAGGCUGUACCACCUAGGUUAGUGUAAGUAUGCUCUAUGAUGUUCACCCAAUGACAAAAUUUAUGGUACCAUAAAUUUAUGCAUUUAUGGUGUCAACACAAGAAGUUGGAGUGAACCUAAAAUCCCCAGGUAUUAUAAUAGGUAUCUAAAAACUGUUCUGACAAUCUUAUAAAAAACUCAAUGUGUGUUUUUUCAUGCAUUUAAUUUCUAGAUUUGCUUCAGUGUCCCUGUGAGAGGCUCACAUUUAUCUUUCCUUUAUGCCUUAACUCCAUUGCCUGUGUAAUGAGGAUAAUAUUUUUAAUAUUAGAAAGAUACAAUUUUUAUUCCCUUGUAGUCAUAUUCCACCAAAUAGGUAAAGCUGUGAUUCAGAGUACCAGGCAAGGAAUCAGUCACAGCCAAGAACAGAUGGAUCCCUAUUCAGCUUUCCAUCUCAAAACUGGCUUUUUGGGAGGCCACGACAAGACCAAUGCCCUGAAGGCUGAGUUUUCUUGAAAAAGAAAGGCCCCUCCCAUCUCCAAACCCAAAGUUCCUCUAUAAAUAUUUAUAAUCCAAGCUGGGAGGACUUACCCUAGAGAAGACUACUUCUUGCGACAGAGAAGACUCAACCUGUGACACAAGGGACAUUUCCACUGGAUAAGAAAGAAAGAAUUCUUGGCACUAGGGAUAUAAGAGAAAUUCAGAAGGGACCCAUCUUGAUCCAGGUUCACAUGAAUGCACGGCCUGUGGCAGGUGUUCAUCUAUGAUCACAGCUGGCAGAUGUGCAGGCAGGUUGGCCACCAGCUCAGAUGCAUGUGGCUCAAUCCUAUGGGACCACCCAAGGAGCUUGAUGAUAUGUGGAACCACAUCACCACCACCACAGGGAAGAAAGGGGUGGCGUUUACCCAUCAGCCUCCAUGAGUUAAGGGUUUCCCUAGGGGUAUUACCUCCCCUACAUUUCCAGGUUGCACAUGUGUGAGUGCUGAAUGGGGACACAUGGGAAUCCCAUGUCCCAGCAUCAGAGGUUCCAAGGCAGGAAUCAGGAGGCUGCAGGGAGGUACUGACAGGUUUCACCUGUGCAGUACUGGUCACUGCUGCAGCAAUGUCUAAAAGAAGAGUUGAGUACACAGGCAGUGCCCAAUAUAGGACCCAGUGAAGUUCUUAUAAUAGAGAAAGCAAAUAUUUUAAUCAGAUGUUCUACCUUUCAUUACAAUGUGAUUGUGACGGUCAAUAUUGAGAGUCAACUUGAUUGGAUUGAAAGAUGCAAAGUAUUGUUCCUGGGUGUGUCUAUGAGGGUGUUGCCAAAGGAGAUGAACAUUUUUGUCAGUGGACUGGGAAAGGCAGACACACCCCCUAUCUGGGUGGGCACAAUCUAAUCAGCUGCCAGCAUGGCCAGAAUAAAAAGCAGGUGGAAGAACAUGGAAAGACUAAACUGGCUGAGUCUUCUGGCCUCCAUCUUUCUCCCAUGCUGGAUGCUUCCUGCCCUCAAGCAUCAGACUCCAAGUCCUUCAGCUUCUAGUCUCUUGGACCAUCGACCACAGAUUGAAGGCUGCACUGUCGGCUUCCCUACUUUCGAGGUUUUGGGACUUGGACUGGCUUCCUUACUCCUCAGUUGGCAGAUGGCCUAUUGUGGGACCUCAUUUUGUGAUCAUAAACUGCUCCCAACAAGUUAACCAUGACCUC